rnacentral:ncRNA from 1 species
UCUUUUUCACGAAUUUUAGUAUCCAACUUUAAACAUUUUUAUAAAUUUUAUCAUCCCAUUUUUUUUUACUUUUGAGCAUGUUUUCAUCACCUUGGUAACAAAACGAUGUAAAAAUGACUUUUGUGCAUUUUACUAUCAUCCGUCAAGAGAGAUGAAAGUCGGCCUUAGUGAUCCAACGAUGCUAAGUGGAAGGAUUGUCACUCAAUGGGUAAAAGUUACUCUAGGGAUAAUAGGCUAAUCUUCCCCAAAGCUCACAUUGACGAGAAGGUUUAGCACCUCGAUGUCAGCUCUUCGCCACCUUGGAGUGUUGUAUGUUCCAAGGGUUGGAUUGUUCGCCCAUUAAAGCGGUACAUAAGCUGGGUUUAGAAUGUUGUGAGAUAAAUGGGUCCAUAUCUGGUGUGGGCAUGAGAGCAUUAAGAAGACAUUUCCCUAGUACAAGAAUAUUGGGAAGGACUCACCUUUGGUGUGCCAGUUAUCGUGCCCAGCCACGGUAAACGUUGGGUUGCCAAGUGUGGAGUAGAUAAUUGCUGAAAGCAUCUAAGUAGUAACCCUAAGGUGAGUGCUUUCAUAUUUCAACUUCCCCAAAGCCUCCGGUAGCACAACUGAGAUAGUGAUGGGUUCUCUGGCCCAACAGGGAUGAAGUGAAAUUUUUUAAAGAAUUCAAGAGAAGGUCACAGUGAGAUGAGUUGUUGCUAAUUAAUGAUAGGUGUCAAAUAGAAAUGCAAUGAUAUAUGUAUCUGAGGCAUCCUAACAAACCGU